CGGACGGGUGAGUAAUGUCUGGGAAACUGCCUGAUGGAGGGGGAUAACUACUGGAAACGGUAGCUAAUACCGCAUAACGCGCAAGACCAAAGAGGGGGACCUUCGGGCCUCUUGCCAUCGGAUGUGCCCAGAUGGGAUUAGCUAGUAGGUGGGGUAACGGCUCACCUAGGCGACGAUCCCUAGCUGGUCUGAGAGGAUGACCAGCCACACUGGAACUGAGACACGGUCCAG
rnacentral:rRNA from 1 species